GAUGAACGCUGGCGGCGUGCCUAAUACAUGCAAGUAGAACGCUGAAGGAAGGAGCUUGCUCUUUCCGGAUGAGUUGCGAACGGGUGAGUAACGCGUAGGUAACCUGCCUGGUAGCGGGGGAUAACUAUUGGAAACGAUAGCUAAUACCGCAUAACAGUAGAUGUUGCAUGAUAUCUACUUAAAAGGUGCAAUUGCACCACUACCAGAUGGACCUGCGUUGUAUUAGCUAGUUGGUGAGGUAACGGCUCACCAAGGCGACGAUACAUAGCCGACCUGAGAGGGUGAUCGGCCAAACUGGGACUGAGGCACGGCCCAGGCUCCUGCGGGAGGCAGCAGUAGGGAAUCUUCGGCAAUGGACGGAAGUCUGACCGAGCAACGCCGCGUGAGUGAAGAAGGUUUUCGGAUCGUAAAGCUCUGUUGUAAGAGAAGAACGAGUGUGAGAGUGGAAAGUUCACAAUGUGACGGUAUCUUACCAGAAAGGGACGGCUAACUACGUG
rnacentral:rRNA from 1 species